AUGAUGGACUAUAGGACAGGACUGCUGCUUCUAACUGUCUGCUGGGCAGGUGUUGAUGGUCAGACUCUGACAGAAUCUGAACCAGCAGUUAAAAGUCCUGGAGGAUCUCACAGAUUGACCUGUACAGCCUCUGGAUUCACAUUCAGCAGCUAUUGGAUGGGCUGGAUCAGACAGGCUCCUGGAAAAGGACUGGAGUGGAUCGCUGCUAUUACCAAUGGUGGUGGCAGCCAGUACUACUCUCAGUCAGUCAGAGGGCGGUUUACCAUCUCCAGAGACGACAGCAGACAGCAGCUGUAUCUGCAGAUGAACAGUCUGAAGACUGAAGAUUCUGCUGUUUAUUAUUGUGCUCGAGAGCCACCAUUUUACAGAUACAGUGUGACAUGUGUGACAGAUGGUUCCAUGUGCAGUGCCUGGGGAUGA